rnacentral:tRNA from 1 species
GGGCCGGUAGCGAAAUCCGGUAUCGCGUCCGCUUGGCUUGCGGAAGACUCCGAGUUCAAACAUCCUGGAAGUAAAUGUCCGGAUUUGAGUGUCUCGGCCGGUCCA